rnacentral:ncRNA from 2 species
AAUGACCACUAGGGGAGUCGGUAGGCCGACUGAGACGACGAAGACGUUCGGACCCUUUGAACCUGAUUAAGUUUGGACUUACGGAGGGAAGUGGCGUGAACAUCUC